UACGAAGGGGGCUAGCGUUGCUCGGAAUCACUGGGCGUAAAGCGCACGUAGGCGGAUUCCUAAGUCGGGGGUGAAAUCCUGGAGCUCAACUCCAGAACUGCCUUCGAUACUGGGAAUCUUGAGUCCGGGAGAGGUGAGUGGAACUGCAAGUGUAGAGGUGAAAUUCGUAGAUAUUCGCAAGAACACCAGUGGCGAAGGCG
rnacentral:rRNA from 1 species